UGUGUUUGAGGUCUUGGGUUUAAGUCCCACUUUUGGGAAAAUAAGCUAUUUUUAUCCUAGCCUAUUCCUUGACGAUUGGGCUUAUAUUUAAUCUUCAGUAAACUUAUAUUAGAAUGAGCUUGCUGGUUCAAGUGGUAAGGUGUUAGCUUACCCUAAGGUCUUGUGUUUGAAUCCCCAUAUGAGCGCGAGUGUUAAUUUUUG
rnacentral:lncRNA from 1 species